UCAUUCAUUCAUUCAUUCAUUCAUUCAUUCAUUUUCCUUCUUUUCUUUAGGUGUGGGCUUUACUUCAGCUGGAAUUGCUGCUGGUUCCUGGGCUGCUUCCAUGAUGUCAGCUUCUGCCAUUGCCAGUGGUGGGGGUGUUUUAGCUGGUGGAGUGGUGGCAACCCUACAGUCCAUGGGUGCUGCAGGCAUUGGUGCUGCGGGCACGGCUGUUGUGGGAUCAGUUGGUGGCGCGAUAGCAGGUGGAGUGGCAGCAUUAACCAACAGGAGGUAGAAGAAUGAAGAUCUAAAAUCAAACGGCAAAUAUUAGAGAAUAAAAUGAUGAGGAUUUGUGAUUCCAAUAAAAAUGAAGAUAGAGUUGACGAGCAAGUACAUAAUAUGAAUAUAUUAAAUGUAUGAAAAUCAGUUAAUUUUGUACUAAAGAAUUUGGGAAACAAACAACAAGAAAAAGGUAUUAUUUUUCCCUCAUUAAUUUCAGCCUUGACUAUAUUUAGUCAUGAUCCAUGAUAAAAAAAAAAAAAAAAAAAGUUUUAAAAAUGCCCCUCCCAUUUUAAAAAAAAAGUAGACAGUGGAGAAUAUCAGUUUUCUAUUACAUUUAAUCAAAAUUGUUAUAUUUUAUUAGAAUUGUGCUCAUGUAUGUAUAUAAAGUAAUGAAAACUAGCACAUUAACUUUGCAUUUUUACAUAUCUUGUAGUAAUAAUUAGGUUAAUACAAAGUUAUUUAAAAUGCUUGUGAAUUAUAAUUCUCCAGAUAGAUAACAUUUUGAAAUACACAGGAUGCUGCUCCUCCCUGGGCUCCAAUACCUUGCCUGUUCUCUGUACUCCAGCUACCAUAUUCCCUUGUUAAUAAAAACUAAAAGCAGUGACAACUUCAACACUACACCUCAAGACCAAACCAGUAGUAACAUCAUGGAGGAACACAAACUCACCACAACAUCACAUUGGUGCUAUCACAGUGGGGAAGGUCCUCCCCACUAUUCAUUACAGUGGGAGAACAAAGAAAGUAUUUUUGUAUUUUGUCUGUAUAUGUUAAGAGAACAGGAGAGAUUUUAUAUAUUUUCAUCAUCAGUAUAAGCAAUAUUAGUUGUGGGAUUGGAUAUGUAAUCAUCUGAUGUUUAAAGGCUUACCUUCCAUACAUUGUAGUUGUGUUGUAAGAGGAACUUAUCGCUGUACUCCACAUUUGGUCGUUUCAAAAGAAAACCCAACUACAUUUGACCUCAUAGAUAGGUUGGAAAUAAGCUGUUGGAAGGCAUCAUGCUAGACAGUGAGGAUAAGGUCAUGUUACCAGGCUGUUGGUAGGAAUAUCAAUCAAGUAGAUUUAAAUCUCUUACUUAAAUCAAAAUCAAAUUAUUUGCUUGCCCAGCCAAAAAAAAAAAAAAAAAAGUUUCUACAAAUGAAUUACUUUCUUGAGCAAAGCACACCAAAUUAAUGUAUUUCCUCAGAUUUUUGUAUUAAUAAAUGCAGUCCAUAAUUUUUCAUACCAAUGAAUAAAUAGAAAACAUAACUACCCAAUAAACUGUACUUAAUCUUAACUAUUUUCCGUAGAUUGUACUUACUUCAAAAUAAUAUUAGUGCUACAUGUUUUUCUAGGGUCUUUUAAUUUUGAAUGUAUGAGCACAAAGCUAUGAAACCCUUUUCAGUGUUGUUGAUGAAACAGUAUCUGCAGAAAGUGGUUGCUGCAUUUGUGUGCUGAAAUUACUUCAUUGACCAGUAUCCUAUUUACUAAACGACAACUAAAAUGCAUGGACUGUUGUUCAUUUUGCUUUAAAUAUAUGCUCAAUACUUCAGACCUUGCAGUAAGUGAAAUCUUAAAUUAAGUUAAAUUCCCCUCGCUGUACGAUAUGCCAUGAGCAUAUCCCGGUCGAGUUGAAGUGUA